rnacentral:tRNA from 1 species
GGGGAUAUGGCUCAGUUGGUAGAGCGACGCGUUCGCAACGCGUAGGCCGUGGGUUCGAAUCCCAUUAUCUCCACCA